UCGGGAAUUUUGGGCAAUGGGCGAAAGCCUGACCCAGCAACGCCGCGUGAAGGAUGAAGUAUUUCGGUAUGUAAACUUCGAAAGAAUAGGAAGAAUAAAUGACGGUACUAUUUAUAAGGUCCGGCUAACUACGUGCCAGCAGCCGCGGUAAUACGUAGGGACCAAGCGUUGUUCGGAUUUACUGGGCGUAAAGGGCGCGUAGGCGGCAAUUCAAGUCAUCUGUGAAAUCUCCGGGCUUAACUCGGAACGGUCAGAUGAUACUGCUUUGCUAGAGUGCAGAAGGGGCAAUCGGAAUUCUUGGUGUAGCGGUGAAAUGCGUAGAUAUCAAGAGGAACACCUGAGGUGAAGACGGGUUGCUAGGCUGAUACUGACGCUGAGGCGCGAAAGCUAGGGUAGCAAACGGGAUUAGAUACCCAGGUAGUCCCUGAGCGGGCUGGCAAGGCGCAU
rnacentral:rRNA from 1 species